rnacentral:rRNA from 1 species
GACGAACGCUGGCGGCGUGCUUAACACAUGCAAGUCGAACGGAAAGGCCCUGCUUUUGUGGGGUGCUCGAGUGGCGAACGGGUGAGUAACACGUGAGUAACCUGCCCUUGACUUUGGGAUAACUUCAGGAAACUGGGGCUAAUACCGGAUAGGAGCUCCUGCUGCAUGGUGGGGGUUGGAAAGUUUCGGCGGUUGGGGAUGGACUCGCGGCUUAUCAGCUUGUUGGUGGGGUAGUGGCUUACCAAGGCUUUGACGGGUAGCCGGCCUGAGAGGGUGACCGGCCACAUUGGGACUGAGAUACGGCCCAGACUCCUACGGGAGGCAGCAGUGGGGAAUAUUGCACAAUGGGCGGAAGCCUGAUGCAGCAACGCCGCGUGCGGGGUGACGGCCUUCGGGUUGUAAACCGCUUUCGCCUGUGACGAAGCGUGAGCGACGGUAAUGGGUAAAGAAGCGCCGGCUAACUACGUG